AGUGAACGCUGGCGGUAGGCCUAACACAUGCAAGUCGAACGGCAGCACAGUAAGAGCUUGCUCUUACGGGUGGAGAGUGGCGGACGGGUGAGGAAUACAUCGGAAUCUACUUUUUCGUGGGGGAUAACGUAGGGAAACUUACGCUAAUACCGCAUACGACCUACGGGUGAAAGCAGGGGAUCUUCGGACCUUGCGCGAUUGAAUGAGCUGAUGUCGGAUUAGCUAGUUGGCGGGGUAAAGGCCCACCAAGGCGACGAUCCGUAGCUGGUCUGAGAGGAUGAUCAGCCACACUGGAACUGAGACACGGUCCAGACUCCUACGGGAGGCAGCAGUGGGGAAUAUUGGACAAUGGGCGCAAGCCUGAUCCAGCCAUACCGCGUGGGUGAAGAAGGCCUUCGGGUUGUAAAGCCCUUUUGGUGGGAAAGAAAAGCAGUAGGUUAAUACCCCGCUGUUCUGACGGUACCCAAAGAAUAAGCACCGGCUAACUUCGUG
rnacentral:rRNA from 1 species